CCCCUAGAUGUUCUGGGCCGCACGCGCGCUACACUGAACAGUUCAACAAGUCUUAACCUUGGCCGACAGGCCCGGGCAAUCUUUGAACGCCGGUCGUGAUGGGGAUAGACUUUUGCAAUUUUUGGUCUUCAACGAGGAAUUCCUAGUAAACGCAAGUCAUCAACUUGCAUUGAUUACGUCCCUGCCCUUUGUACACACCGCCCGUCGCACCUACCGAUUGAAUGGUCCGGUGAAGCCUCCGGAUUGGCGCGCACCUCGGUGCCGCCGAGAAGUUGGCUAAACCUUACCAUUUAGAGGAAGGUGAAGUCGUAACA
rnacentral:rRNA from 1 species